UACAGAGGUCUCAAGCGUUGUUCGGAUUCACUGGGCGUAAAGGGUGCGUAGGCGGUGAGGUAAGUCUGAUGUGAAAGCUCGCGGCUCAACCGCGAAAUGGCAUUGGAAACUGCCUUGCUCGAGGAGUGGAGGGGGGACUGGAAUGCUCGGUGUAGCAGUGAAAUGCGUAGAGAUCGAGCGGAACACCGGUGGCGAAGGCGAGUCCCUGGACACUUCCUGACGCUGAGGCACGAAAGCCAGGGGAGCAAACAGG
rnacentral:rRNA from 1 species